CAGAGUUAUACAACUCCCAUACCAUCUGUUAACCUAUCCAAGUAUGCCUCGGCGUAGCUCGGCUGGCGGCCACUGCAGCGACCGUAGUGCGGCCCUGCCAACUCCAGGGGUAGGGCAGCCGCCGGAGGUAACUAAACUCUGUAUUAUAGUGUAUCUCUGAGGUAUAACUAAUAAGUUA
rnacentral:misc_RNA from 1 species